GACGAACGCUAGCUACAGGCUUAACACAUGCAAGUCGAGGGGAAACGAUAUUGGAAGCUUGCUUCCGAUAGGCGUCGACCGGCGCACGGGUGAGUAACGCGUAUCCAACCUGCCCAUCACUUGGGGAUAACCUUGCGAAAGUAAGACUAAUACCCAAUGAUAUUUAUAGAAGGCAUCCGAAAUGAAUUAAAGAUUUAUCGGUGAUGGAUGGGGAUGCGUCUGAUUAGCUUGUUGGCGGGGUAACGGCCCACCAAGGCGACGAUCAGUAGGGCGUCCGAGAGGAAGGUCCCCCACAUUGGAACUGAGACACGGUCCAAACUCCUACGGGAGGCAGCAGUGAGGAAUAUUGGUCAAUGGGCGAGAGCCUGAACCAGCCAAGUAGCGUGCAGGAUGACGGCCCUAUGGGUUGUAAACUGCUUUUAUAGGGGAAUAAAGUGAGCCACGUGUGGUUUUUUGCAUGUACCCUAUGAAUAAGGACCGGCUAAUUCCGUGCCAGCCGCCGCGGUAAAAC
rnacentral:rRNA from 1 species